AUAUUAAUAGUUACACAAAUAACUCUGUAUAUGAAAGAUAGAUAAAUAGAUAGACAGAUAGAUAGAUGCAUAGGGAAUCGACCAUUGGUUUAAUGGUGUGUGUCUCAUCCAGACCCGUUAGUGUAUGUCUAAGAUUGAGAUUUUAAUAAGGCAAUAAUUAUACAUGUCUCAGCGCAAAAAAUAUAUUUUAUUUGAGGAUACAAGAGUUGACUUUCAUGCAAGGUUUUCCCAGACGUUUAUUUAAAUGCAUAUUUAGGCCUAUCAUAAUAAUAAUAAUAAUGCAACAUUCUGGUAUACUUUUUUCCAGAAGAAAAGCCAUGUUUGAAUGUAAAAAUGUAAAUGUUGCGGUGAAGGUUGGGAAGCCUCUAUGCUGAGCACACACUGCAGCCUCUGGAAAAUAAUUACAAUACCAUAAAAAAGACUUUUUCGGCUAAUUGGAGCCCGCAGGGAGUGAUUACAAAUGACUCAUUUGUCACUGUUGUAGGGUAUGAAAUUUGCUCUGCAAUGAUGCAGUGAGCUGCCUGCCCUGACAAUGGGCCUAAAGAAAAGGGAGCCGAGUGCAGCAGAUACGAUCUGAAUGGAACCCCUCCAGUAUUCAGCGGGCAGCACUGGCUUCUCCCAGUCAGCCCAAUCGCCAGUAAUGAGAUAAAUGCGUUUCAUCAGUUUCUGGCCCUGAAUAUACACGGGGCUCAGCCACAGAGCUGACUCUCCAGUCAGGGAAGGUUGGGAACAGUUGGGAAAAGUUCCAGGCAGGAUUUGAACUAAGCGAUAAAGCCAACAAAUCUAUCAGAUCUGGGGAUUAGCCCAACACACCGACUCACCCCUGUCUCUGCAUACAAACAUCGCUCUGCCCCUCUCAGCUAAAUGGCAAAUAUUGGGUUAUGUGUUCCACUGCAAUACCUGCAUGGAAAUACCCCAACCAUGCAUGGAAAUACCCCAACAGCCAGGGGCAGGCACAGGGGGCAUCUGUACAUUAAAGGUACCAGCAUCAAUUCAUAUUAGGUUCAUUAUGGAUUGUCUCAUACAGGUAUCUCCCUCUUGCAUUCGCCUACUAGCAGGGUUGCUUUGUCCCUAUUGCCCAGCCAGGUAUAACAAUAUAUACAUAUAUAAUUCUCUCAGUAUAUGGUGUUAUUAUAUUCUGAUGUCAUGUGCAAAUAUUUAUUUGGGAAGAAAUAGAUCUAAAUCGAUCUCCUCUCAUUACUUAUUGAGUGUACCAAGAAAUGUGUAUAAAUGUAGGUAUGUAUGUGUGUGUGUAUAUGUGUGUGUGUAUAUGUGUGUGUGUGUAUAUGUGUGUGUGUCUGUGUGUGUGUGGAAUUUGGUUUGAUAAGCGAUUCUGUGUAUGUGGAAGGGUAUUGGUGGCUCCCAGGUACCUCAGUUCUUUCACUGGGAGAAUAAGUUUGAGGUUAUAGGGACAUUUCAGCUCUGUAUAUGAUGUAUGAGGCCUCGCUUGGUUGUAUGUGGUACCCAUAUAUAUAUAUCACUGGGGCACUAAAAAGGCACUUAUAUCUUUAUAUAACCUUUAUUAUUUCUGUUUGAAGAAAACUUUUUGAGGCCUCAAUGGACAGAAGGGAACAUCGCCAUGCUUCUUUCCCAAUGUUAGGAGCAACAUAGCCAAAUGAAUAGCUACAAUGUGGAUUUGCCCAAAUGAAAGGGCCUAGGGUAUGAGCAGCUGCACUGCCGCACAUGUAGGCGCACAGGUCCUUAGUAUCAUGUGCAGACGGGUUUGGAGAGGUGAAGGUGCAGGGCCAUGAGGUUUAGGACUGGCUGCCACUGACUUACUGGGCUUGACAGACUUGCCCUAGAGGGCGGAGCCCCCGAACAUACCUCCAGCAAGGACCUUCCCUCUCAAACACCGCAGCCUCCCUCAAAAACACCGCAUCCCUCAAACAGAUGGGACCUUCACCUACAAAUCUGCCAACGGCUUGGGCUCAGACUCGCAAUGAAGUUUGGAGCCUCUCGCUUCCCAGAAGCAGCAUCUCCCACUGCACCCAAUCUGUGCGAUUUCCUCUUCGACUUUGUUAUGAGAAUAGACGGAAGAGGGCGCUCGGCGGCAGAGAUUUCUGAAGGCGAGCCUCCAUAGCCGACGUAUGUGCAGCUGAUGACAGCCCAAGGUGUGACUUCCCAGGGAGACUGCUGAAUGGGAGCCCAGCAGAAUACAGACAUUCUUCUGCAAGAAUCCGUGUGCCCUUGUAUGGAGGGAGAAUGGGAGACAAACAAGCCCGAGUUGGUUGCCUGGGGUCUAAACAUUAGUUUUUCUCCUCUGGAAGAGAAAAACCUUCUUUGUCCAACCUGUUAGUGCUUUUGUUCUGAGGAUAAAGGCUAAAGACAACUUGCACAGCCUGAGCUGGGAACUCUGCCUUAAAUCCGGACCUGACACUAUUCACAGGCUCUUGACGAGGACAAAAAAGGGGAAAUUAGGCCUAAAAUCUCCCAGGCAGAUGUCUAGGGUUAAAACAGGUUAUUUGUUAAUUGCUUUUGUGUUUUUAAGGGGAGGGAAUUAAGAGCCCAAGGAAGAGACCUGUUAGGAAAAUGAUAAAAUACAAAAAGUUUGCUCUCCACAUGCUAUGUGAUUCAUUGCAGGGUGAUUCAUAUUUUCAUCCAUUAAUAUGGAUGAGUUAAAUGAAGCACAAGCUGCACUCUGUCUGCCUACUGAUGUUAAUGGGAUGAUGUGUGGGACUGUCUCAAUGGCUGUGGCUCCCUCAGAAGCAGCACGAGAGAAACACAGAAAUCACUGGAUGUUCAUAUUGAGCAAAACACCACCAGCAUCCAAAAUAUAAAGCCCUCAUUAUACAUAUCUAUCUAUCUAUCUAUCUAUCUAUCUAUCUAUCUAUCUAUCUAUCUAUCUAUCUAUCUAUCUAUCUAUC